GGAUUUUGCGAACUUGUCAUUUAAGGAAAAGCCUGUAUAUGUAGGUGUUGAUGAUGGAAGGUCGAAGGUGACCGUCGAAGGGUUGCAGCAGGGCUAUUGUGUCGUGCCUAG